UACGUAGGGUGCAAGCGUUGUCCGGAAUUAUUGGGCGUAAAGAGCUCGUAGGCGGUCUGUCACGUCGGCUGUGAAAACCCGAGGCUCAACCUCGGGCCUGCAGUCGAUACGGGCAAACUAGAGUACUGCAGGGGAGAACGGAAUUCCUGGUGUAGCGGUGAAAUGCGCAGAUAUCAGGAGGAACACCGGUGGCGAAGGCGGUUCUCUGGGCAUGUCCUGACGCUGAGGAGCGAAAGUGUGGGGAGCGAACAGG
rnacentral:rRNA from 1 species